rnacentral:rRNA from 1 species
UGGGGAAUAUUGGACAAUGGGCGGAAGCCUGAUCCAGCAAUGCCGCGUGUGUGAAGAAGGCCUGCGGGUUGUAAAGCACUUUAAGCAGGAAAGAAGGGGCGGGAGCUAAUAUCUUUCGUCAUUGACGUUACCUGCAGAAUAAGCACCGGCUAACUCCGUGCCAGCAGCCGCGGUAAUACGGAGGGUGCGAGCGUUAAUCGGAAUUACUGGGCGUAAAGCGCGCGUAGGCGGUUGAAUGAGUCCGUCGUGAAAGCCCUGGGCUUAACCUGGGAACUGCGGUGGAUACUGUUUAGCUAGAGUGUGGUAGAGGGCAGUGGAAUUUCCGGUGUAGCAGUGAAAUGCGUAGAGAUCGGAAGGAACACCAGUGGCGAAGGCGGCUGUCUGGACCAACACUGACGCUGAGGUGCGAAAGCGUGGGGAGCAAACAGG